AUUGAACGCUGGCGGCAUGCCUUACACAUGCAAGUCGAACGGCAGCACGGGAGCAAUCCUGGUGGCGAGUGGCGAACGGGUGAGUAAUGUAUCGGAACGUGCCCAGUCGUGGGGGAUAACGUAGCGAAAGCUACGCUAAUACCGCAUACGAUCUAUGGAUGAAAGCGGGGGAUCGCAAGACCUCGCGCGAUUGGAGCGGCCGAUAUCAGAUUAGGUAGUUGGAGGGGUAAAGGCUCACCAAGCCGACGAUCUGUAGCUGGUCUGAGAGGACGACCAGCCAAGGUGGGCCUGAGACACGGCCCAGACUGCGACGGGAGGCAGCAGUGGGGAAUUAUGGACAAUGGGCGCAAGCCUAAUCCAGAAAUACCGCGUGCAGGAUGAAGGCCUUCGGGUUGUAAACUGCUUUUGUACGGAACGAAACGGCGAGCUCUAAUACAGUUUGCUAAUGGCGGUACCGUAAGCAUAAGCACCGGCUAACUACGUGCCAGCCGCCGCCGUAA
rnacentral:rRNA from 1 species